rnacentral:lncRNA from 1 species
AGUCGAGGAGAGUACUAGCGGCAGGCGGGCAGCGGCCGCCCCUCCCAGCCCACCAGCUGGCCACUAAAAGCUCCCGGUUGCCAAGGACUUCCUUCUUAAGGUUUUGAUCAAGUUAGAUGCACUGCUCAGAAGACAAAUGGCAUCACAGAACAAAAGUAUGAGCGCGUAAUUGUGCUGGAUUUCCACGUAUGUCAGUUGAGCCAUUUGAAGACAUUAGGAGUGGGGGUUAUUGAACCCUCCCUUGCUCUAGGACAAUGCAAGCCUGCCUCUGUGUUCACCACAGCAACAGGGAUUCUAUUUAGUGCUCAAUCCUGAUGAACCAGAAUGAAGGUCUGAGAGUUUGUGUGACAGGUAAGAGAAAAAAAAAAAAAAAAAGAAAAGCAAGUGUAUGGAAGCCUUGAGAAACGUGGAAGCAAAGAGAUUUGUUGGGAAACAAGCUUUAAAAAUUGAAGAUGAAGUGCCACAUCAAAAAACAGGAUAGAAUGGAGAGGCACCUCGUCUCUGAAGACGUUACUCAAGUUGUUACACUGCGUAGUGGGCGACAGGAUUAUACAGUUGGUUGGAAGAUGAUCUUUUUAGACAAUCCAGAGCCUGAACCCCUGCUCCUUCCUCUCUGCUCUGUAUGUCAUCUUGGCAGUAGUCUCAGAGCUUCUUCCUACUACUUAACAAGAACUGACUGGGUGCAACAUCACCCUAACCUCAUGCCCCAUGACACCCC